rnacentral:sRNA from 1 species
AGCCUCUGCCCUUCCUGGGGCGUUUCCUCCCUACUUAUUUCAGCCCGGCUUUUCGCCGGGCUUUUCUUUUGGCGGU